CUUCCACACUGUGGAAGCUUUGUUCUUUCACUCUUUGCAAUAAAUCUUGCUACUGCUCACUCUUUGGGUCCACGCUGCUUUUAUGAGCUGUAACACUCACCGCAAAGGUCUGCAGCUUCACUCCUGAAGCCAGCGAGACCACGAGCCCACCAGAAGGAAUGAACAACUCCAGAAGCGCUGCCUUAAGAGCUGUAACACUCACCUCAAAGGUCUGCAGCUUCACUCCUGAGCCAGCGAGACCACGAACCCACCAGAAGGAAGAAACUCCAAACACAUCCGAACAUCAGAAGGAACAAACUCCAGACACGCCACUUUAAGAGCUGUAACACUCACCGCGAGGGUCCACGGCUUCAUUCUUGAAGUCAGUGAGACCAAGAACCCACCAAUUCCGGACACAUUUUGGCAACCACGAAGGGACUUUUGCCUAUCACCAAGCAGUGAGACAAUUGCCGAGCGGUGAGACCAUCGCCUAUCGCCAAGCAUGCCACCCUGGUGACUUAUCUCACACUAUUUGAAAAAUCUCUAUACUUCUCAAGCAAGGUCAGAAAGCUGGUUGGAAACUUCUGGUCACCAUUGGGUCAAGCAUGUGUUGCUUCAGAGAAUCACUAAUGGCAUCUGAAGAAGGAGAAAAGACUGUAUUUCCUCCACCAGCAACGUUCCAUUUCAAGCCACAGGACUAUAAAGACAGAUGCCACAAAGUUCAUCUGUUAUUGAGUGACCACAGGAAAUGCCAGAGAUUCUGAGAAGCAAUUGAAAUUGAACCAUGUAACAGCCAACCUGACCCUCUUCACUCAUGCCCCUCAGGAUCCUGGGUGUAACAUCAAUUAAGACAAAUUAACAUAAAGAAAGUCGGACUGGAAGAAACACAAUUUCUUUCAAGAAAUACUAGCGGCCCCAUGUUGCGAUUCAGGCCAUUGAGAAAUAUUUCAAGUAUGACUCCGAGAAAAGCUUUCACAAAUAUUUUAUGAGCUUCAAAAUUAUAAGAAGUCACCAAGCCCCUUCUUUUCACUGCUACCAUUUUGCAAGGACAACAUCACAAGGGGAGUGGAGCAAGGAGAGCAAGUGCAAGGAGCUUGCUUCAUUCACUCGCUGACCUAGGAAGUCAGGAAUGCCAUCUUGUCCUGGUCCUGUAAGGUCUUUAUAAUCCUUGUCCAUCCAGGUACGAUGAAGAAGGCAGGCUACACUAGAAACUAAAUGUGGGAUUUUGCCCACUUUUCACGCAUCAAGCCUCUUUCGAAGGUUGUGCUCUAAAUGACCUCAUUCAAAGUAUAAGGAGAACAUGCAUUGGUGAAGAACAUGGGCUCUGCAGUCAGACUUCUUGGGCUGUGGCACUUACUAUCAGUGAGACGGUGGAUAAAUCUUAGUUUCUCUUAGUUUUGCUUUACUUAUUCAUGAAUUGAGGUUAAUAAAAGCACCAAACUAUAAGGUUACUGUGACAACAAAAUAACACAUAAAGCACAAUGCCUAGCAUAGGUAAAAACUAUUAUCCUGCCUUGCAGCACUUACCAGGUAUGAAUGAAAAAGAAAGCAAAAUUUGCAAGUUUCUGCCCCCUGUAACUGUAUUGCUAGCUCAUAUUAGGACGCUGGAUGAUUUAUAAUAUAAUUGAACACCAGAGGUAAAUGUUUCUUUACUCUCUGGGCUUCAGCAUCUCUAUCUGUAAAAUCAGGUGGUUGUAUUAAAUCUCUUACCUUCUCAAUUCCAACAAGAACUGUCUAGAAAUUGUUGAGCAAUUCCCCAGGGAUGCAAGCAAAUCCCCAAAGAUCCCCUCCUUGAGGCUGAGAUGGGGGCUGAUAUUAAAUUACAGCUGCACAAACAGCAACUUCAUCACAUGAGGUUUACCUAGCACUGUCUGUGUGUGUGUCUUUCAUUCCUUCACCUUUGUGUUAGGCGUACCUAUGCGCCAGAUCCUAAUGGAAGCAGUGAGAUGGCCAGGAUGCUGAGGUAAGUGAGAUGUGGCCCCUAGAACCAAGAAACUCACAGACCAGUAACAGAAUGAAGUCAGCAUAAAGACUGAAGGUGUAGGGCA
rnacentral:lncRNA from 1 species